UACGGAGGGUGCAAGCAUUAAUCGGAUUUAUUGGGCGUAAAGGGCGCGUAGGCGGGGAUGAAAGUCAGAUGUGAAAUCCCGGGGCUCAACCUCGGAACUGCAUUUGAAACUCCAUUUCUUGAGGGUGGACGGAGAAAACAGAAUUCCACGUGUAGCGGUGAAAUGCGUAGAUAUGUGGAAGAAUACCGGUGGCGAAGGCGGUUUUCUAGUUUACACCUGACGCUGAGGCGCGAAAGCAAGGGGAUCAAACAGG
rnacentral:rRNA from 1 species